rnacentral:rRNA from 1 species
GAUGAACGCUGGCGGCGUGCCUAAUACAUGCAGGUCGAGCGAACGGACGAGAAGCUUGCUUCUCUGAUGUUAGCGGCGGACGGGUGAGUAACACGUGGAUAACCUACCUAUAAGACUGGGAUAACUUCGGGAAACCGGAGCUAAUACCGGAUGAUAUUUUGAACCGCAUGGUUCAAAAGUGAAAGACGGUCUUGCUGUCACUUAUAGAUGGAUCCGCGCUGCAUUAGCUAGUUGGUAAGGUAACGGCUUACCAAGGCAACGAUGCAUAGCCGACCUGAGAGGGUGAUCGGCCAAAAUGGAACUGAGACACGGUCCAGAAUCCUACGGGAGGCAGCAGUAGGGAAUCUUCCGCAAUGGGCGAAAGCCUGACGGAGCAAAGCCGCGUGAGUGAUGAAGGUCUUCGGAUCGUAAAACUCUGUUAUUAGGGAAGAACAUAUGUGUAAGUAACUGUGCACAUCUUGACGGUACCUAAUCAGAAAGCCACGGCUAACUACGUG